UUGCUCGCUUCGGCAGCACAUAUACAAAAAUCCGAACGAUACAGAGAUCAGCAUGGCCCCUGCUCGAGGAUGACACGCAAAUUUGCGAAGAGAUCCAUAUUUAC
ensembl:snRNA U6 U6 spliceosomal RNA